AGCAGCCGCGGUAAUUCCAGCUCCAAUAGCGUAUAUUAAAGUUGUUGCAGUUAAAAAGCUCGUAGUUGAAUUUCGAGAUCAAAUUGUUGGUCGUGCCUUGGUACGCACUGGCAUUAUUGGUUUCUCCCUUCUGACGAACCAUGAUGUCAUUAAUUUGGUGUCUUGGGGAAUCAGGACUGUUACUUUGAAAAAAUUAGAGUGUUUAAAGCAGGCUCACGCUUGAAUACAUUAGCAUGGAAUAAUGAAAUAGGACGUUUGAUUCUAUUUUGUUGGUUUCUAGGAUCGACGUAAUGAUUAAUAGGGAUAGUUGGGGGCAUUAGUAUUCAAUUGUCAGAGGUGAAAUUCUUGGAUUUAUUGAAGACUAACUACUGCGAAAGCAUUUGCCAAGGAUGUUUUCAUUAAUCAAGAACGAAAGUUAGGGGAUCGAAGACGAUCAGAUACCGUCGUAGUCUUAGCCAUAAACUAUGCCGACUAGGGA
rnacentral:misc_RNA from 1 species